rnacentral:rRNA from 1 species
CCUACGGGAGGCAGCAGUCGAGAAUCAUUCACAAUGGGGGAAACCCUGAUGGUGCGACGCCGCGUGGGGGAAUGAAGGUCUUCGGAUUGUAAACCCCUGUCAUGUGGGAGCAAAUUAAAAAGAUAGUACCACAAGAGGAAGAGACGGCUAACUCUGUGCCAGCAGCCGCGGUAAUACAGAGGUCUCAAGCGUUGUUCGGAAUCACUGGGCGUAAAGCGUGCGGAGGCUGUUUCGUAAGUCGUGUGUGAAAGGCGCGGGCUCAACCCGCGGACGGCACAUGAUACUGCGAGACUAGAGUAAGGGAGGGGGAACCGGAAUGCUCGGUGUAGCAGUGAAAUGCGUAGAUAUCGAGAGGAACACUCGUGGCGAAGGCGGGUUCCUGGACAUUAACUGACGCUGAGGCACGAAGGCCAGGGGAGCGAAAGGGAUUAGAUACCCCAGUAGUG